rnacentral:rRNA from 1 species
AGUGAACGCUGGCGGUAGGCCUAACACAUGCAAGUCGAACGGCGGCACAGUAAGAGCUUGCUCUUACGGGUGGCGGGUGGCGGACGGGUGAGGAAUACAUCGGAAUCUACUUUUUCGUGGGGGAUAACGUAGGGAAACUUACGCUAAUACCGCAUACGACCUACGGGUGAAAGCAGGGGAUCUUCGGACCUUGCGCGAUUGAAUGAGCCGAUGUCGGAUUAGCUAGUUGGCGGGGUAAAGGCCCACCAAGGCGACGAUCCGUAGCUGGUCUGAGAGGAUGAUCAGCCACACUGGAACUGAGACACGGUCCAGACUCCUACGGGAGGCAGCAGUGGGGAAUAUUGGACAAUGGGCGCAAGCCUGAUCCAGCCAUACCGCGUGGGUGAAGAAGGCCUUCGGGUUGUAAAGCCCUUUUGUUGGGAAAGAAAAGCAGCAGGUUAAUACCCCGCUGUUCUGACGGUACCCAAAGAAUAAGCACCGGCUAACUUCGUG